UACGUAGGUGGCGAGCGUUGUCCGGAUUUACUGGGCGUAAAGGGAGCGUAGGCGGACUUUUAAGUGAGAUGUGAAAUACUCGGGCUCAACUUGAGUGCUGCAUUUCAAACUGGAAGUCUAGAGUGCAGGAGAGGAGAAUGGAAUUCCUAGUGUAGCGGUGAAAUGCGUAGAGAUUAGGAAGAACACCAGUGGCGAAGGCGGCUCUCUGGACUGUAACUGACGCUGAGGCUCGAAAGCGUGGGGAGCAAAUAGG
rnacentral:rRNA from 1 species